AAAAGAAUUAUAAAUAAAGUCAUCACAAUUUCUCAAAGGUGACGACUAUCACACAGGCGCACAGACCCGAACAUAAGCGUGUAAGACAGAUAGAUAGCUCUUUCUCGAAUUUAUGGAUGGUAGUGCAUGGACUGAUUUGUCUCGUUAACUGCGAUAAUAAACGAGACUUAAAAAUGUUAAGUAGAUGCUUUCACGAUUACGAUGUUAAAGCAAUGAAAAGGGAACCGUACCUCCUGGCUUCUUAAAUACACAAAUUGAACUUUACAGGUUCUGUAAUGAUCUUAGUUGUCAUCGGCUACACGCUGGAUAAAUCGCAGGUAAAUCUGGGUAAAUCGCUAAACCAACGUCAUGGGUUAUGAACUGCAACUGUGCGCAUGACCUUGAAAUUCCCAGCAAGUGAGAGUCAUUAGCUCGCACUGAUUACGUCCGUGUUCUUUGUAUA
rnacentral:ncRNA from 1 species